rnacentral:rRNA from 1 species
UCCUACGGGAGGCAGCAGUGGGGAAUAUUGCACAAUGGGGGAAACCCUGAUGCGGCCAUGCCGCGUGUGUGAAGAAGGCCUUCGGGUUGUAAAGCACUUUCAGUAGGGAGGAAGGUAGUGUAGUUAACACCUGCAUUAUUUGACGUUACCUACAGAAGAAGCACCGGCUAACUCCGUGCCAGCAGCCGCGGUAAUACGGAGGGUGCGAGCGUUAAUCGGAAUUACUGGGCGUAAAGCGCAUGCAGGCGGCCUAUUAAGUCAGAUGUGAAAGCCCGGGGCUUAACCUCGGAAUUGCAUUUGAAACUGGCAGGCUAGAGUCUUGUAGAGGGGGGUAGAAUUUCAGGUGUAGCGGUGAAAUGCGUAGAGAUCUGAAGGAAUACCAGUGGCGAAGGCGGCCCCCUGGACAAAGACUGACGCUCAGAUGCGAAAGCGUGGGGAGCAAACAGGAUUAGAUACCCUGGUAGUCCACGCCGUAAACGAUGUCUACUUGGAGGUUGUGGCCUUGAGCCGUGGCUUUCGGAGCUAACGCGUUAAGUAGACCGCCUGGGGAGUACGGUCGCAAGAUUAAAACUCAAAGGAAUUGACGGA